CCGGGGAACAUCGAGUCUUUGAACGCACGUUGCGCCCGAUGCCAUUAGGUUGAGGGCACGUCUGCCUGGGUGUCACAUAUCGAAGCCUCCUGCCAAUUUCCCUUUGAUUAUUGUGCAGGGUGGAUGUUGGCCUCCCGUGAGCUCUUUCGUCUCAUGGUUGGUUGAAAAUUGAGACCUUGGUAGGGUGUGCCAUGAUAGAUGGUGGUUGUGUGAUCCACGAGACCAAUCAUGUGCUGCUCUAUUAAAUAUGGCCUCUUUUACCCAUAUGCGUUUCUAAACGCUCGUGAUGAGACCUCAGGUCAGGCGGGGCUACCCGCUGAAUUUAAGCAUAUCAAUAAGCGGAGGAAAAGAAACUAACAAGGAUUCCCUUAGUAACGGCGAGCGAACCGGGAUAAGCCCACCAUGAGAAUCGGUCGCCCUCGGCGUUCGAAUUGUAGUUGAAAAAAAACCUUCAAAAAA
rnacentral:rRNA from 1 species